rnacentral:rRNA from 1 species
UACGUAGGGGCCAAGCGUUGUCCGGAUUUAUUGGGCGUAAAGAGCUCGUAGGCGGUUGGGUAAGUCGGGUGUGAAAACUCCAGGCUCAACUUGGAGAUGCCACCCGAUACUGCCCUGACUUGAGUUCGGUAGGGGAGUGGGGAAUUCCUGGUGUAGCGGUGAAAUGCGCAGAUAUCAGGAGGAACACCGGUGGCGAAGGCGCCACUCUGGGCCGAAACUGACGCUGAGGAGCGAAAGCGUGGGUAGCAAACAGG